CGGGAUGUAGCGUAGUACGGUAAUCGCACCUGGUUUGGGACCAGGAGGUCGUAGGUUCGAAUCCUAUCAUCCCGAC
rnacentral:tRNA from 1 species